rnacentral:ncRNA from 1 species
GUAAAUUCUCAGGGCGGGGUGAAAUUCCCCACCGGCGGUAAAUCGUGUCAGCGACAUGAAAGCCCGCGAGCGCCCGCCAGAUUUUGGCGGGGUCAGCAGAUCUGGUGUCAUCACAUCCUAGCGUGACUAAUCCAGAGCCGACGGUGUUGCCAUUUAGAUGGCUCAGUCCGGAUGAAAGAGAAUCAGA